AGCACUGCAUGGUAUCUGCACCCAGUCAUUUCUCUGGCUGGGUUGUUCAUUACGCAGUGCUAGAGCAAUUCUGUAUCUGGCAUCGUUGGUUUCCUCACUGCAGUGUGUGUGAUACCUGGUAUUUUUACUGAGACAAUG
ensembl:snoRNA SNORA8 small nucleolar RNA, H/ACA box 8